rnacentral:rRNA from 1 species
GAGUUUGAUCCUGGCUCAGAACGAACGCUGGCGGCAGGCUUAACACAUGCAAGUCGAACGAAGCCUUCGGGCUUAGUGGCGGACGGGUGAGUAACGCGUGGGAACGUGCCCUUUGCUACGGAACAGUCCCGGGAAACUGGGUUUAAUACCGUAUACGCUCUUCGGAGGAAAGAUUUAUCGGCAAAGGAUCGGCCCGCGUUGGAUUAGGUAGUUGGUGGGGUAAUGGCCUACCAAGCCGACGAUCCAUAGCUGGUUUGAGAGGAUGAUCAGCCACACUGGGACUGAGACACGGCCCAGACUCCUACGGGAGGCAGCAGUGGGGAAUCUUAGACAAUGGGGGCAACCCUGAUCUAGCCAUGCCGCGUGAUCGAUGAAGGCCUUAGGGUUGUAAAGAUCUUUCGCUGGGGAAGAUAAUGACGGUACCCAGUAAAGAAGCCCCGGCUAACUCCGUGCCAGCAGCCGCGGUAAUACGGAGGGGGCUAGCGUUGUUCGGAAUUACUGGGCGUAAAGCGCGCGUAGGCGGAUUGGAAAGUUGGGGGUGAAAUCCCGGGGCUCAACCCCGGAACUGCCUCCAAAACUAUCAGUCUGGAGUUCGAGAGAGGUGAGUGGAAUUGCGAGUGUAGAGGUGAAAUUCGUAGAUAUUCGCAGGAACACCAGUGGCGAAGGCGGCUCACUGGCUCGAUACUGACGCUGAGGUGCGAAAGUGUGGGGAGCAAACAGGAUUAGAUACCCUGGUAGUCCACACCGUAAA